UAACGGCCAUACCAUGCUGAAUAUACCGGUUCUCGCAGAGCAUCAUUGGGCGCGGUCAGUACUUGGGUGGGUGAUCACCUGGGAACACCGCGUGCCGUU